rnacentral:rRNA from 1 species
GGGGGGGGGGGGGGGGGGGGGGGGGGGGGGGGGGGCGGGCGGCAGCGCCGUAAGAGCGUGGUCUUACGGGGGGCGAGUGGCGGACGGGUGAGGACUACAUCGGAACCUACUUUUUCGUGGGGGAUAAGGUCGGGACACGUACGCUAAUACCGCCUGCGACCUACGGGUGAAAGCACGGUAUCUUCGUACCUUCCGCGGUUGACGGGUACGAUGUCGGAUGAGCGAUUUGGCUGGGUGAAGGCCCACCACGGCUACCAUCCGUAGCUGGUCUAGAACGCUGAUCAGCCACACGGGAACUGAGACACGGUCCAGACUCCUACGGGAGGCAGCAGUGGGUAAUAUUGGACAAUUGGCGCAAGCCUGAUCCAGCCAUACCGCGUGGGUGAAGAAGUCCUUCGGGUUGUAAAGCCCUUUUGUUGGGAAAGAAAAGCAGCAGGUUAAUACCCCGCUGUUCUGACGGUACCCAAAGAAUAAGCACCGGCUAACUUCGUG